rnacentral:rRNA from 1 species
UACGUAGGGGGCGAGCGUUAUCCGGAUUUAUUGGGCGUAAAGCGUGUGUAGGCGGUUUAUUAAGUCUAAGAUAAAAGCCCGAGGCUUAACCUCGGUUCGUUUUAGAAACUGGUAGACUAGAGUGCAGUAGAGGCAAGUGGAAUUUCUAGUGUAGCGGUUAAAUGCGUAGAUAUUAGAAGGAACACCAGUGGCGAAGGCGGCUUGCUGGGCUGUUACUGACGCUGAGACACGAAAUCGUGGGGAGCAAAUA